AGAGUUUGAUCCUGGCUCAGAACGUACGCUGGCGGCACGCCUAACACAUGCAAGUCGAACGAAGUAGCAAUACUUAGUGGCAGACGGGUGAGUAACAUGUAGGUAUCUGCCCUUUGGCCUGGAAUAACACGAGGAAACUUGUGCUAAUACCGGAUAAGUCUUUACGGAGAAAGCUUUAUGCACCAUUGGAUGAGCCUGCACUUGAUUAGUUUGUUGGUGGGGUAAUGGCCUACCAAGACUGUGAUCAAUAGCUGAUUUGAGAGGAUGAUCAGCCACAUUGGGACUGAGACACGGCCCAAACUCCUACGGGAGGCAGCAGUGGGGAAUCUUGCACAAUGGAGGAAACUCUGAUGCAGCGAUGCCGCGUGAGUGAAGAAGGCCUUUGGGUUGUAAAGCUCUUUCGUCGGGGAAGAAGAUGACUGUACCCGAAUAAGAAGGUCCGGCUAACUUCGUGCCAGCAGCCGCGGUAAUAC
rnacentral:rRNA from 1 species